GACGAACGCUGGCGGCGUGCUUAACACAUGCAAGUCGAGCGGGUAAGGCCCUUUCGGGGGUACACGAGCGGCGAACGGGUGAGUAACACGUGGGUGACCUGCCCUCAGCUCUGGGAUAAGCCUGGGAAACCGGGUCUAAUACUGGAUAUGACUCCAUGACGCAUGUUGUGGGGUGGAAAGCCUUGUGCGGCUGAGGAUGGGCCCGCGGCCUAUCAGCUUGUUGGNGGGGUGAGGCCUACCAAGGCGACGACGGGUAGCCGGCCUGAGAGGGCGACCGGCCACACUGGGACUGAGACACGGCCCAGACUCCUACGGGAGGCAGCAGUGGGGAAUCUUGCGCAAUGGGCGAAAGCCUGACGCAGCGACGCCGCGUGAGGGAUGACGGCCUGGUU
rnacentral:rRNA from 1 species